AGCUUUUUUUGGAUUCAAAUGCUCAUAUACGGUAUUGGAUGAUUUGAAGUAUACUGUGCUUCAAGAAGGGGAGAUUGAGUCAUCAUUUUCUGAUAUUCACAUGGAAAUGCUUUAGAUAUUUUGGUGGUUUCUGUGAUACCGAGUGGCAUACUGACUGGAGAUCACAAAAGGAACUUCCAAAAUCAUAUUCACAAACUAUGGAGUGUAAUAAAGAUGAAGCCUUCAGAGCAAAAAAAAUUGCAGAGCGGAAGUUUGAACAGAAGGAUUAUGCUGGUGCAAAGAAAUUUGCCUUGAAAGCUCAGGUUUUGUAU
rnacentral:misc_RNA from 1 species